AGCUUUGCGCAGUGGCAGUAUCGUAGCCAAUGAGGUUUAUCCGAGGCGCGAUUAUUGCUAAUUGAAAGAACAUAGAUUUCUGAGUUAGUAGCCUGGCAAAGACCUAGUGUAUGGCUUUGGGAAACAAUGAACCUCUCUCAGCCUCUCUUAUCUCAUCUAUAAAUAGAGG
rnacentral:snRNA from 1 species